rnacentral:rRNA from 1 species
AUGGCUCAAAAUUUUGAGGCAUACGUGUUGGGGUGCAAGAGCUGCACUCCCCCUUGGGAAUGUUUUGUCAAAGAGUCCGCUGUCAGACAUAUUGAUUUUGAUGGCACUUCCAGGGAGUUUUAUCCGGGAAAGUAUAUCAUGGGCCCUAUGAUAUCCGAUUGUCUAAUGGACAGGCAUGCAGAGUUGGAGUCUUAUUCUCUAAUGAAGAACUUCAGACAUCCAAAUGUUGUCACUGUAGAGAACUUCUACGAUCACUGGGGUUGUCCUAGAUUUGUGUUAUCAUGGGUUGAUGGGAGCUUGUCUGCAUGGAUGAAGGGAGAUGGGGCUGGGAGGAUGUUUAAGUCCACCAUGAAGGGGAGUGUUCCCACGGGUGCUCUAAGACGAAUGAUAAUUGAUCUAUGCAGUGGGCUUGAACGUUUAAUAGAGGAGCAACUUUAUCCUCUAAAGAUUGAACUUAAUGACAUUUGUGUGCGCCGGCAGGGCCAAAGGGGAAUUCCAUUGCUCUACAUCAAUAGAGUUGAAAAGUUGUCAGCUUUUGAUGGAAGGCGUCGGCAGGGGAAGCUAUGGGGGGAUAUUAGAAGAGCUCUGAAGGAAGUGUACAAGCAGGCUCCAGCGGGUAUUGAUCCAAUUGCCCAAAGGUUCAUCAACUAUGUUGGAGUGAAAGACGUCAGUGCACUGCAGGGUUUCCUGGACCUCUGGGACUAUCGAAGGAAGGCUAGAUUUUUGCUCUCUAUAAUUUCAAAUGACAUUUCAGAGAUCCUAGACCAUCAGGAAAAGACACGCGGAGCGGUCUAUAGGACAACCAGCCGGUAUGACUACUUAAGACUCUGUAAGGAUGCCAUCAAACACUGGCCUGUUAUGCCUGGUUCUGUCAAGGGUGACUGUGCUACUUUGGAGCGAUUUAUUGACAAGAUGGAGAGGUGGAACCCACUGAUCUGGUGCUAUCUCUACGAAGCCACUGCAUUAAACAACGGGAACGUCAAAACUUGUCGGGUGUGGUGUCCACCAUGGACGGUGUCAACAGGCGCGAGGAGGUUACCUGGGCUACGGACGGAUCCGAGGGAAAAUUAA